rnacentral:rRNA from 1 species
GGGGGAUAACAGCCAGAAAUGGCUGCUAAUACCGCAUAAGCGCACAGAACCGCAUGGUUCCGUGUGAAAAACUCCGGUGGUAUAAGAUGGACCCGCGUUGGAUUAGCUAGUUGGCAGGGCAGCGGCCUACCAAGGCGACGAUCCAUAGCCGGCCUGAGAGGGUGAACGGCCACAUUGGGACUGAGACACGGCCCAGACUCCUACGGGAGGCAGCAGUGGGGAAUAUUGCACAAUGGGGGAAACCCUGAUGCAGCGACGCCGCGUGAAGGAAGAAGUAUCUCGGUAUGUAAACUUCUAUCAGCAGGGAAGAUAAUGACGGUACCUGACUAAGAAGCCCCGGCUAACUACGUGCCAGCAGCCGCGGUAAUACGUAGGGGGCAAGCGUUAUCCGGAUUUACUGGGUGUAAAGGGAGCGUAGACGGCGCAGCAAGUCUGAUGUGAAAGGCAGGGGCUUAACCCCUGGACUGCAUUGGAAACUGCUGUGCUUGAGUGCCGGAGGGGUAAGCGGAAUUCCUAGUGUAGCGGUGAAAUGCGUAGAUAUUAGGAGGAACACCAGUGGCGAAGGCGG